AUCAACUUUCGAUGGUAGGAUAGAGGCCUACUAUGGUGGUGACGGGUGACGGAGAAUUAGGGUUCGAUUCCGGAGAGGGAGCCUGAGAAACGGCUACCACAUCCAAGGAUGGCAGCAGGCGCGCAAAUUACCCAAUCCCGACACGGGGAGGUAGUGACAAUAAAUAACAAUACGGGGUUCUUUCGGAUCUCGUAAUUGGAAUGAGUACAAUUUAAAUCUCUUAACGAGGAACAAUUGGAGGGCAAGUCUGGUGCCAGCAGCCGCGGUAAUUCCAGCUCCAAUAGCGUAUAUUAAAGUUGUUGCAGUUAAAAAGCUCGUAGUUGAAUUUCGGGGUUAGUAGGCUGGUCAUGCCACCGGUAUGUACUGGUCUUACUGAUUCCUCCUUCCUGAUGAACUGUAAUGCCAUUAAUUUGGUGUUGCAGGGAAUCUGGACUGUUACUUUGAAAAAAUUAGAGUGUUUAAAGCAGGCUAACGCUUGAAUACAUUAGCAUGGAAUAAUGAAAUAGGACGUUCGAUCCUAUUUUGUUGGUUUCUAGGAUUGACGUAAUGAUUAAUAGGGAUAGUUGGGGGCAUUAGUAUUCAAUUGUCAGAGGUGAAAUUCUUGGAUUUAUUGAAGACUAACUACUGCGAAAGCAUUUGCCAAGGAUGUUUUCAUUAAUCGAGAACGAAAGUUAGGGGAUCGAAGACGAUCAGAUACCGUCGUAGUCUUAAUCAUAAACUAUGCCAACUAGGGAUCGGAUGAUGUUAAUUUUUUAAUGACUCAUUCGGCGUCUUACGGGAAACCAAAGUGUUUGGGUUC
rnacentral:rRNA from 1 species